AUUGAACGCUGGCGGAAUGCUUUACACAUGCAAGUCGAACGGCAGCACGGACUUCGGUCUGGUGGCGAGUGGCGAACGGGUGAGUAAUACAUCGGAACGUGCCCAAUCGUGGGGGAUAACGUAGCGAAAGCUACGCUAAUACCGCAUACGAUCUAAGGAUGAAAGCGGGGGAUCGCAAGAUCUCGCGCGAUUGGAGCGGCCGAUGGCAGAUUAGGUAGUUGGUAGGAUAAAGGCCUACCAAGCCGACGAUCUGUAGCUGGUCUGAGAGGAUGAUCAGCCACACUGGGACUGAGACACGGCCCAGACUCCUACGGGAGGCAGCAGUGGGGAAUUUUGGACAAUGGACGCAAGUCUGAUCCAGCCAUUCCGCGUGCAGGGUGAAGGUCCUCGGGUUGUAAACUGCUUUUGUACAGAACGAAAAGGCUCUGGUUAAUACCUAGGGCUCAUGACGGUACUGUAAGAAUAAGCACCGGCUAACUACGUGCCAGCCGCCGCCGUAA
rnacentral:rRNA from 1 species